GCCUAGCCCUAAACACAAGCAACAUGAUACCCCACUGCUCGCCAGGGGACUACAAGCCCUAGCUUAAAACCCAAAGGACUUGGCGGUGCUUUAGACCCCCCUAGAGGAGCCUGUUCUAGAAUCGAUAAUCCCCGAUAAACCUCACCCUCUCUUGUUCUCCCCGCCUAUAUACCGCCGUCGUCAGCUUACCCUGUGAAGGUUUAAUAGUAAGCAGAAUUGACACAGCCCAAAACGUCAGGUCAAGGUGUAGCGUAUGAGUGGGAAAGCAAUGGGCUACAUUUACUGCCCCAGUAAAUACGGACUAUGCUCUGAAAAAGCACGUGAAGGAGGAUUUAGCAGUAAGCGGGGAAUAAGAGUGCCCCCCUGAAAAUGGCCCUGAAGCGCGCACACACCGCCCGUCACUCUCCCCAACGACCAGCUUACUAAUAGCUAAUUCGAUCCCGUCACAAAGGGGAGGCAAGUCGUAACAUGGUAAGCGUACCGGAAGGUGCGCUUGGAAAAACC
rnacentral:rRNA from 1 species